rnacentral:rRNA from 1 species
GUAGGUGGCAAGCGUUGUCCGGAAUUAUUGGGCGUAAAGCGCGCGCAGGUGGGUCCUUUAAGUCUGAUGUGAAAGCCCCCGGGCUCAACCGGGGAGGGUCAUUGGAAACUGGGGAACUUGAGUGCAGGAGAGGAAAGUGGAAUUCCACGUGUAGCGGUGAAAUGCGUAGAUAUGUGGAGGAACACCAGUGGCGAAGGCGACUUUCUGGCCUGUAACUGGCACUGAGGCGCGAAAGCGUGGGGAGCAAACAGGAUUAGAUACCCUGGUAGUCCACGCCGUAAACGAUGAGUGCUAAGUGUUGGGGGGUUUCCGCCCCUCAGUGCUGCAGCUAACGCAUUAAGCACUCCGCCUGGGGAGUACGGUCGCAAGACUG